GCGGGGAUGCUGGAAUUGGUAGACAGGCUACGUUGAGGACGUAGUGUCCGUAAGGACGUGGAGGUUCGAGUCCUCUUCUCCGCACCC
rnacentral:tRNA from 1 species